rnacentral:rRNA from 1 species
AAACUCAAAUGAAUUGACGGGGGCCCGCACAAGCGGUGGAGCAUGUGGUUAAUUCGAAGCAACGCGAAGAACCUUACCAGGCCUUGACAUGCAGAGAACUUUCCAGAGAUGGAUUGGUGCCUUCGGGAACUCUGACACAGGUGCUGCAUGGCUGUUGUCAGCUCGUGUCGUGAGAUGUUGGGUUAAGUCCCGUAACGAGCGCAACCCUUGUCCUUAGUUACCGGCACGUUAAGGUGGGCACUCUAAGGAGACUGCCGGUGACAAACCGGAGGAAGGUGGGGAUGACGUCAAGUCAUCAUGGCCCUUACGGCCUGGGCUACACACGUGCUACAAUGGUCGGUACAAAGGGUUGCCAAGCCGCGAGGUGGAGCUAAUCCCAUAAAACCGAUCGUAGUCCGGAUCGCAGUUUGCAACUCGACUGCGUGAAGUCGGAAUCGCUAGUAAUCGUGAAUCAGAAUGUCACGGUGAAUACGUUCCCGGGCCUU